AUUGACAACCAGACCUUUGUCAGUGCUGGCAAAAGAACACAGAGUUGCUUUCCCCCACCCCAAGCCUCUACACUGUUAGUUCCAAUGGAAAAUAUCCAAUCGGAAGUCUAUCCAAAAUCAUUCCUAAAAAAUGAAAUUGCUUUCAUAUGGUAUAAAAAAGUUAAGUUUCCUCAUUUCACACAGGCUUUAAAAUUACAUUUCCAAGAAUAAUCUUGGAACAAGACAAGUUUUUGUUCAAUUAAUUGUGGCUGGAAACUUUUUAAUGGAAACAUAGCACACACUUACUUCAUUUCAGGUUAUUAAACUGUGUUAGGCACUGUCGCUAGCUUGCCAUUCUUUGCCGCAGCUCAUUUGCUCUUUUCAAUCCAAAGAAAUAGUAGAAGGUUAAAACUUAUCACAUAGGAGGGAUUAAUCAUGCUCCCAAAUUAGAAAGCUUGUAGCUCUAAGAGACGCGGUGUCAAAAGUGGUCAUGGCACUUACACUAGUGGGAAUCCAGGAUGCCACUCUACCAUUUAAAAUGGAAACUCAUGUCUGUAGAAUCCCUUGGCAUAUAUAUGAUGCUGGCUAUAGUUGGUGUUCUUCACAGAUUGGUUAAGGGCACCACUUUCAGAUAAAACAUAGACCUGAAUGGCAUCACCCAGUAUCCAAGGAAACCAUCUUUACCCUUCAUAAAAGCACCGGCAAGCGGAAAGAAAUGACAGUAAGACUGAAUUAUGAACUUUAAAAAGUUGAGAACAAGUAACUACUUGUACUGUGAAAGCUGCCCUCUCUGCUCUUGAUUAACUGUCUGCAAUAGGUCAUUGAUGAAACAUAGACUUGGAGAAGUCAAGUAAUUCCCAAGACAGACAUAUCCAAG